AAUUUCUGUAUUUCACCCUCCGGCUCAGAUUUGAACACCAGUCUUGGUCAUAAAAAGAAGAAAAGUAAUAUUGAAGCUGGCCUCACAGCUCUGUAGUGUGUGGGCUAGUUUCAAACAAGG